rnacentral:lncRNA from 1 species
UUUUAUGGUAUUUAAGUACUUAAUUUGUGAGAUAUAAAGAAAUUUGCAUAUAGGUGUAUGUAAAUAAGAAUUUGAAGCUAUUGUUAGGAUUUUGGUGAUAUCUAAAGAUCCAUAGUGAAUUUAUAAAUGAAAUUUGUUGUAGUAGUUGUUAAAAUUACAUAGUACUUUUUGUAAAAUUUGGAUUUGUUUGGACAGUUUGAUUACAAAAUGAGCUGUUGAAGUUUGGAAAAAAAUCAUCUUAAAAAUAUAUAAGGUUUUAUAAUAUUUUUAUCACAUUUUUAAUGAUCAUUAAUACUUAGGGCUUAUGUGUUGAUAUAAUUUCCCUUAUAGGGAUAAUUUUAUAUAUAAACUUGAUAUUUUUUUUAAUCUUGAGGCUUGAUUGACUAAUUCGUCAUAGCUAGAAGCCUAGUGCUUUCUUAAGGCAAAUUAUCUCUACUUCAACAUAUUGGUGCUUCUAUUGAGAGAGCCUUAAG